rnacentral:rRNA from 1 species
GUGGGGAAUUUUGGACAAUGGGGGAAACCCUGAUCCAGCCAUUCCGCGUGUGCGAUGAAGGCCUUCGGGUUGUAAAGCACUUUUGGCAGGAAAGAAAUCGCACAAAUUAAUACUUUGUGUGGAUGACGGUACCUGCAGAAUAAGCACCGGCUAACUACGUGCCAGCAGCCGCGGUAAUACGUAGGGUGCAAGCGUUAAUCGGAAUUACUGGGCGUAAAGCGUGCGCAGGCGGUUCGGAAAGAGAGGUGUGAAAUCCCAGGGCUUAACCUUGGAACUGCACUUUUAACUCCCGAGCUAGAGUAUGUCAGAGGGGGGUGGAAUUCCGCGUGUAGCAGUGAAAUGCGUAGAUAUGCGGAGGAACACCGAUGGCGAAGGCAGCCCCCUGGGAUGAUACUGACGCUCAUGCACGAAAGCGUGGGGAGCAAACAGGAUUAGAUACCC